GACGAACGCUGGCGGCGUGCUUAACACAUGCAAGUCGAACGGGAAGGCCCUGCUUUUGUGGGGUGCUCGAGUGGCGAACGGGUGAGUAACACGUGAGUAACCUGCCCUUGACUUUGGGAUAACUUCAGGAAACUGGGGCUAAUACCGGAUAGGAGCUCCUGCUGCAUGGUGGGGGUUGGAAAGUUUCGGCGGUUGGGGAUGGACUCGCGGCUUAUCCGCUUGUUGGUGGGGUAGUGGCUUACCAAGGCUUUGACGGGUAGCCGGCCUGAAAGGGUGACCGGCCACAUUGGAAUUGAGAUACGGCCCAGUCUCCUACGGGAGGCAGCAGUGGGGAAUAUUGCACAAUGGGCGGAAGCCUGAUGCAGCAACGCCGCGUGCGGGAUGACGGCCUUCGGGUUGUAAACCGCUUUCGCCUGUGACGAAGCGUGAGUGACGGUAAUGGGUAAAGAAGCACCGGCUAACUACGUG
rnacentral:rRNA from 1 species